rnacentral:rRNA from 1 species
UACGUAGGGUGCAAGCGUUAAUCGGAAUUACUGGGCGUAAAGCGUGCGCAGGCGGUUUUGUAAGUCUGUCGUGAAAGCCCCGGGCUCAACCUGGGAAUUGCGAUGGAGACUGCAAGGCUUGAAUCUGGCAGAGGGGGGUAGAAUUCCACGUGUAGCAGUGAAAUGCGUAGAUAUGUGGAGGAACACCGAUGGCGAAGGCAGCCCCCUGGGUCAAGACUGACGCUCAUGCACGAAAGCGUGGGGAGCAAACAGG